GGAAGAAAUCGUCAAAGAAGAAAUCUACCGUACACAGCCUCGAGGACCUGAGCUGGUCGAGUGGAGCUCAGACAAAAUGUCUCUAUACUUUCUCCUGUCUCGCUUUAAAAUCUGGAGCCAAAGGGAAAUCAUCACCCUGGAAAAGGUGUCAUGACUCCAUCUCCACAAACCCAGACCACGUGUCAGAGCAGCAGAAAGUCCCUGACUUGUCCCUGAUCAUACAGGAGGAGGAGCUCAGUGAAGUGAACAACAUGCUAAAGGUGCAUUUUGUUGCCAGCUGGUGCUUGUGAAGAUGAGCCUCAUCGAGCCCAGAGGAGAAACAUGCAGAGCAUGUGUCUAAAUGUAUAUUUGUGGUGAAGUGCAGUGAUACAAGCUCAGUCCUGCAGCUCGUCUCUGCACACUGCAGCUGCUGUGACCUCCAGCCUGUGAAGAACGGCCUGGCGAUGAUCCAUUGUUGAAAUGCAGAUCUUAUACGUGCGCUCCCUGCCCAUGGAUGAGUUCUAUCAGAGAUGUUGUGGAUGUGCAUGUACAAAUCUUUUAUAAUAAACUUGUAGCUGUAUUCAGAA